rnacentral:ncRNA from 2 species
UUGUCCGUCUUUGGGGAGUAGCCGGCUUCCAGCCAUUGGAAGCGCUCAUGUCAACACGCUUGGUUCUCUGGACCAUGGCAUGAGCAACCGAAAUGUAUUCUGGUUGGCAAGACCAUCGAUGUAACGCCGCGACCGGUCGGGCUCGGCGUCACAUCGCAU